AAAUAGUUGGCAAAUGGUGUUUGGAGUUGACAGCGAAUGAAAAAUUAUUUCCAUGUAUACAACUGCAAUUUACCUUUUUUUUCUUUUUUUUUAUAAAUAGGCAGAUAGAACCAAAAUGCAACCUCUUAUGGAUCUCAGGUUUCCAAUUAACUGGGUGGGAUUCUUCAGUCUGAAGGAAAAAAAAAAAAAUUGUCAAUGAAAUAGCCAAAAAUAAACUUUUUGAUGAGAGAAUCCUUAA